rnacentral:rRNA from 1 species
UAGGGAAUCUUCGGCAAUGGGGGGAACCCUGACCGAGCAACGCCGCGUGAGUGAAGAAGGUUUUCGGAUCGUAAAGCUCUGUUGUUAAGGAAGAACGAGUGUGAGAAUGGAAAGUUCAUACUGUGACGGUACUUAACCAGAAAGGGACGGCUAACUACGUGCCAGCAGCCGCGGUAAUACGUAGGUCCCGAGCGUUGUCCGGAUUUAUUGGGCGUAAAGCGAGCGCAGGCGGUUAGAUAAGUCUGAAGUUAAAGGCAGUGGCUCAACCAUUGUAGGCUUUGGAAACUGUUGAACUUGAGUGCAGAAGGGGAGAGUGGAAUUCCAUGUGUAGCGGUGAAAUGCGUAGAUAUAGGGAGGAACACCGGUGGCGAGAGCGGCUCUCUGGUCUGUAACUGACGCGGAGGCUCGAAAGCGUGGGGAGCGAACAGG